rnacentral:rRNA from 1 species
GUAGGUGGCAAGCGUUAUCCGGAAUUAUUGGGCGUAAAGCGCGCGCAGGUGGUUUCUUAAGUCUGAUGUGAAAGCCCACGGCUCAACCGUGGAGGGUCAUUGGAAACUGGGAGACUUGAGUGCAGAAGAGGAAAGUGGAAUUCCAUGUGUAGCGGUGAAAUGCGUAGAGAUAUGGAGGAACACCAGUGGCGAAGGCGACUUUCUGGUCUGUAACUGACACUGAGGCGCGAAAGCGUGGGGAGCAAACAGGAUUAGAUACCCUGGUAGUCCACGCCGUAAACGAUGAGUGCUAAGUGUUAGAGGGUUUCCGCCCUUUAGUGCUGAAGUUAACGCAUUAAGCACUCCGCCUGGGGAGUACGGCCGCAAGGCUGAA